rnacentral:lncRNA from 1 species
UAGGAUGGUUUUGAUUUUAAUUUCAAUAAAGACUUUUUGUUUCAUUUAUUUAUGAAAUAAAAUGAUUGCACGUAGUUUUUUAAUUGACAGUCUUUAUCACUUGCAUAUUGAUGCGAAUGUGAAUUUAAACGAGCAAGUAGUGAGUGCUGUAGGUCAAAAGAGACUCAGAGACAAAAUUAAUCAAAAGUACUUGUGGCAUCAUAGGCUAGGCC